rnacentral:rRNA from 1 species
UACAGAGGUCCCAAGCGUUGUUCGGAUUUACUGGGCGUAAAGGGUGCGUAGGCGGCCAAAAAAGUCUGAUGUGAAAUCUUGGAGCUCAACUCCGAAACUGCAUUGGAUACUGGUUGGCUUGAGGAGUGGAGGGGAGACUGGAAUUCUCGGUGUAGCAGUGAAAUGCGUAGAUAUCGAGAGGAACACCAGUGGCGAAGGCGAGUCUCUGGACAUUUCCUGACGCUGAGGCACGAAAGCCAAGGGAGCAAACGGG